rnacentral:rRNA from 1 species
AUGCAAGUCGAGCGGACAGAUGGGAGCUUGCUCCCUGAUGUUAGCGGCGGACGGGUGAGUAACACGUGGGUAACCUGCCUGUAAGACUGGGAUAACUCCGGGAAACCGGGGCUAAUACCGGAUGCUUGUUUGAACCGCAUGGUUCAAACAUAAAAGGUGGCUUCGGCUACCACUUACAGAUGGACCCGCGGCGCAUUAGCUAGUUGGUGAGGUAACGGCUCACCAAGGCAACGAUGCGUAGCCGACCUGAGAGGGUGAUCGGCCACACUGGGACUGAGACACGGCCCAGACUCCUACGGGAGGCAGCAGUAGGGAAUCUUCCGCAAUGGACGAAAGUCUGACGGAGCAACGCCGCGUGAGUGAUGAAGGUUUUCGGAUCGUAAAGCUCUGUUGUUAGGGAAGAACAAGUACCGUUCGAAUAGGGCGGUACCUUGACGGUACCUAACCAGAAAGCCACGGCUAACUACGUGCCAGCAGCCGCGGUAAUACGUAGGUGGCAAGCGUUGUCCGGAAUUAUUGGGCGUAAAGGGCUCGCAGGCGGUUCCUUAAGUCUGAUGUGAAAGCCCCCGGCUCAACCGGGGAGGGUCAUUGGAAACUGGGGAACUUGAGUGCAGAAGAGGAGAGUGGAAUUCCACGUGUAGCGGUGAAAUGCGUAGAGAUGUGGACGAACACCAGUGGCGAAGGCGACUCUCUGGUCUGUAACUGACGCUGAGGAGCGACAGCGUGGAGAGCGAACAUGAUUACAUACGCUGGUACUCCACGCCGUACACGAUGACUGCUAACUGGUAAGGGGUCUCCGCUCCUCUGUGCUGCAGCUAAC